AAGAGGGGGCAUUCAAACAAAGGAUGGAUGGCUCUACUUAAACAACAGCCUCAUCCUCAGGACCAAGCACUGUCUAUCAUUUCAGACCUCCAGACCUCACAUUGGCAGGUGGAUUUCUACUUAAACAACAGCCUCAUCCUCAGGACCAAGCACUGUCUAUCAUUUCAGACCUCCAGACCUCACAUUGGCAGGUGGAUUUCUACUUAAACAACAGCCUCAUCCUCAGGACCAAGCACUGUCUAUCAUUUCAGACCUCCAGACCUCACAUUGGCAGGUGGAUUUCUACUUAAACAACAGCCUCAUCCUCAGGACCAAGCACUGCCUAUCAUUUCAGACCUCCAGACCUCACAUCGGCAGGUGGAUUUCUACUUAAACAACAGCCUCAUCCUCAGGACCAAGCACUGUCUAUCAUUUCAGACCUCCAGACCUCACAUUGGCAGGUGGAUUUCUACUUAAACAACAGCCUCAUCCUCAGGACCAAGCACUGUCUAUCAUUUCAGACCACCAGACCUCACAUUGGCAGGUGGAUUUCACUCACAUGCCCACUCAUAAAGAACUCCGUUACCUCCUGGCCCUUGAUGACACUUGCUCCCACCUCCAGGGAGACAGCAGAUGUGGAGGCCCAGGUACUCCUGGACCACAUCAUCUUUCCAACGGACAAUGAGCCAGCCUUCACUUUCAGGGUCAUAGAGUUUGUUUCAGAAGCUCUCAACUUUUCCUGGAAGCUCCACAUCUACCAUCCACAAUCCUCGGGAAAGGUAGAGACGGCUAAUGGACUCAUCAAACAACAGCUAAUCAAGCUCUCCACUGGACCACGUUAUCUUGGCCAUCCCUUGUCCCCACUGCCCUUACCUGCCUCCGGGUCACCCCACGUUCUCCCACAGGCCUAAGCCCUUUUGAGCUCCUUUAUGGAAGGCCCUUCCUCCUUAAUCACCAGCUCCCAGCCCAGACUCCUCCAUUGGCUGGGCACCUUCCCUGCCUCUUCCUUCUGAGGUCCCUUCUCUGCUCACAUGCUGAUGGUUAUCUCCCUGCCUCUACACCAAUGGGCCAAACUGCCCCUGAGCCUGCCCUGCUCUCCCCAGGGGACAGAGUUCUCCUCAAACAGCUUGCUCCUAAGUCUCUCCAGCCCUGGUGGACAGGACCCUACGCUGUGAUCCAAGCCACCCCUUCGGCUGCCGAGCUCCUAGGACAUCCAUGCUGGUACCUGGUACCUCCUCUCCAGGCUUAAAUGGACACUUGGUCUGUCCAGCAGCUGGGACCCCCACCCUCUGGUUUUCCAAGAUGCCACAAUAAAGGGCCCAUUUGCUCUUUUUCCUGACACAUUCACCUUCGUCAGUACAAUUAGGGCCGAUGACAACAAUCUAUUUUUUUUUCUCCUAGCAACCUGUCUUGUCCACCUCAAGGAACAGGUGCCUGAGGUUUCCAGGAUGGCAGCUAACCAGAUGCUUCUUCACCCACGCCUUCCACUGAGCGUGAACCCACCAACUCCGGACUCUCCCGCUCCCCCACACCUUCCCUUGUCAGCAGGAAGAAACCAGACACGACCAGUGUGCAUAUACCCAAAGAGUCUGGGAUGCUAUGGUAAAACCUUUGCCCCAGCCCCCGGCAUCCAGAUACCCAAAGAGUCUGGGAUGUUAAGGUAGAGGGUCCACCCAAACCCCCUCCCCCAUCCCCCUUCAAACCCUGCUGAGGCUCAGAAAGCUCGACAAAUGAUGCCCCCCCAGAUGCUCAAGACCACUCCCAUAGGGUAUUUAAACUGCCCUCCAGAAAACAGACAUGUGGUUUUCCGGUCCCCCUUUCCCGUCUCCUCUCUGGGGGGACUGGAAGGCCAUCUGGGAGUGUUGUGUCCAUUAAACAUGGGCUUUUUCUAA